GACGAACGCUGGCGGCGUGCUUAACACAUGCAAGUCGAACGAAGUGGCGAAAGUGUGAGUAACGCGUAAUCAACCUGCCCUUCAGAGGGGGACAACAGUUGGCAACGACUGCUAAUACCGCAUACUGAAGGAGGGGAUUGGGUUUGAUUAGCUAGUUGGAGGGGUAACGGACCACCAAGGCGAUGAUCAGUAGCCGGUCUGAGAGGGUGAACGGCCACAUUGGGACUGAGACACGGCCCAGACUCCUACGGGAGGCAGCCGUGGGGAAUCUUCCGCAAUGGACGAAAGUCUGACGAAGCAACGCCGCGUGAGUGAUGACGGCCUUCGGGUUGUAAAGCUCUGUUAAUCGGGACGCGGUACCGGAAUAGAAAGCCACGGCUAACUACGUGCCAGCAGCCGCGGUAAUAC
rnacentral:rRNA from 1 species